rnacentral:rRNA from 1 species
CACGUAGGAGGCAAACGUUAUCCGGAUUUACUGGGCGUAAAGCGCGUGUAGGUGGUUCUGUAAGUAGGGCGUGAAAGCUCCCGGCUCAACUGGGAGAGGCCGUUCUAAACUGCAGAGCUAGAGGAUGGUAGAGGGAGGUGGAAUUCCAGGUGUAGCGGUGGAAUGCGCAGAUAUCUGGAGGAACACCAGUGGCGAAGGCGGCCUCCUGGACCAUUCCUGACACUCAGACGCGAAAGCUAGGGCAGCAAACGGGAUUAGAUACCCCUGUA